rnacentral:SRP_RNA from 1 species
GGGACAGGUCCUACGCAGCCAGCUCCCUUUGAAUUCCGUCAGGGCCGGAAGGCAGCAGCGGUAAGAAGGUCGUAGCGGCGUGAUGUAGGUCGCCUGUCC